GUAUGGUUUUGAAAGCCCACGUCUGCUCAAACUGUACCAUUAGGUAAUAAGGGGAUGCAUGCUGCCCUCACAUAUAUAAAUAUUGAGUUCAAGUGGCCUUUAGUUUUUAAUUUAAAGGAAAAAAAUAAAGAAAAAAAAUUUAGAUAUGUGUCUCUGAGGAUUCAUGCAGAUAUGUAUUUAGUUUCACAUCAGUUAUUCACUGGAUAAAUUUUGGAUACUUAUAUAGGAUCAAGGAACCAAAUAAUAUCUUUCAGCUAGUUAUUUUAGAUGAGGUUCUGAGUUGUUACAAAUGGUAUCAGAGCGGACUCGGCCCACGACUUAUGUGGACUAGAGGACACAGGAGCACGGAUCUAUUGGGGCUAACCACGGGCCGAUCGUGAUGCUUGUAAUUAGAUUUGAAUAGAUUUGAACCCUGAUGAGGACGUCAGGGCUUAAACGGGAGAAGUAU
rnacentral:lncRNA from 1 species